GUGAGUCAUCGAAUCUUUGAACGCACCUUGCGCUCCUUGGUAUUCCGAGGAGCAUGCCUGUUUGAGUGUCAUUAAAUUCUCAACCUCACCCGUUUUCUGAACGGUUCUCCGAGGCUUGGAUGUGGGGGUUUGUGCAGGCUGCCUCAGCGCGGUCUGCUCCCCUGAAAUGUAUUAGCGAGAUUCAUAUCUGAACCUCCGUCUAUCGGUGUGAUAAUUAUCUACGUCGUUGACUUGGUUCGGACUCGCUUCUAACCGUCCGCGAGGACAACAUUACUUGACAAUUUGACCUCAAAUCAGGUAGGACUACCCGCUGAACUUAA
rnacentral:rRNA from 1 species